GAUGAACGCUGGCGGCGUGCUUAACACAUGCGAGUCGAACGAUGAAGCCCAGCUUGCUGGGUGGAUUAGUGGCGAACGGGUGAGUAACACGUGAGCAACCUGCCCCUGACUCUGGGAUAAGCGCUGGAAACGGCGUCUAAUACUGGAUAUGUCCCGUCACCGCAUGGUGUGCGGGUGGAAAGAUUUUUCGGUUGGGGAUGGGCUCGCGGCCUAUCAGCUUGUUGGUGAGGUAAUGGCUCACCAAGGCGUCGACGGGUAGCCGGCCUGAGAGGGUGACCGGCCACACUGGGACUGAGACACGGCCCAGACUCCUACGGGGGGCAGCAGUGGGGAAUAUUGCACAAUGGGCGGAAGCCUGAUGCAGCAACGCCGCGUGAGGGAUGACGGCCUUCGGGUUGUAAACCUCUUUUAGCAGGGAAGAAGCGAAAGUGACGGUACCUGAAGAAAAAGCACCGGCUAACUACGUGC
rnacentral:rRNA from 1 species